rnacentral:tRNA from 1 species
AUAUGAAAAGGUUUAAUUCGCCCUUUCACGGCGGCAACACGGGUUCGAAUCCCGUACGGGACACCA